ensembl:lncRNA novel transcript, antisense to CCDC93
AACAAACAGAGCUAUCUCCCAACUUCCUGGUCCUACUGGCAGAUCUUCAUGUAAAUCUCUUUUUCUUGUGCUCCUUACACGACAGACCAGGGAAAAGGGAGAGAACCACAGAGAAUGCUAGUGUAACUCCCCAUUUGACAAGUGAAAAAAUGUCCAAAAUACUCAGAUUUGACAAUGGUGCAUACUGAGUACGCAGUUGAAGGCACUGGUUUAUCCUGACAUUCAUAACAUUCUCUCUUAAUCCUCACAAUGUCGGAUGGUACUGGCUGAGUUUUACUGAACCUGAAGUGCCGGGAGACUAUAUAACUUACUCAUGGAUCCAUAGCUAGCCAGCUGCAAAGCUGGGAGUCACAACUCAAGAGACUAUUCUACACCGAAGACUGGACAAAUGGUUUCAUGAAAUGUUUCCCAGCUUUGUUAGGCUGAUACCCAGAAACAGCUGCUCUUCACUUCUCCCAACUGAAAACUCCAGUUAUUAUCAUUAAAACACCACCCUGCAGAAGAUCCACCUGCAGAAGAUCCACCCGCCCUGAGGGUAAAAACCUGCAGAAGAUCCACCCGCUCUGAGGAAAGACCUCCACUGAUAGUACUGUGGAAUAUUGGGUUGGACGGAUUUAAAGUAGAACGUGGGAGACCAGACAGAAGUCUACAGCAAAAGGCCAGGCAAAAACUUGAUGAGAGCCUAGAAUACAGAAGUGGCAAAAAAGAAAACUUCAAAUGUCACAGUACAAAUCCUAUUGUUCACUAUCCUGGGUCCCAUCCCAGGCAACGUGCAUACUAUAUAUAUUCCCAGCUUCUGGACACAGAACACAGUGAUCCCUCAAUUAGUGGAUACUUGUGAUAUGAAAGAACUGAGGAUUUGGGAGGAAUGCAGAGGAGUAACAUUGGUCACUGGCAGAAACAGAAGAGGAGGGAGCAGGAAGGGAGCAGAAAGGAGGAACUGAGAAAAUCACCAUCUGUGAUAUUUUAUUUCUUAGGGCAAGAAGAUCUUAAAAAAAAGACAAUGUCAGUGAUAAAAAGUGGGUGAUGAAUACAUAGGGAAGAAGCCAGUUGAGAUUUUUUAAAAAAUCUUGAAACACAAACUUGGACAUUGGAGCCUUAGCUUUCAGAAUCCUCCCUGAAAGAAGAAAAAUACAUGUUUUUCUCCCCCACUAUAUUGUCACUUCCUCGAGGAAGGACAAGGGCUCAUGUAUUCUGUUUAUCUGCAUGCCUGGAGCCUAACCCAAUUCAUCUGUUUGUUCUAUUUUG